rnacentral:lncRNA from 1 species
CCCAUUAGAUUUCCCCAUAGCCAAACACAAAACGCCCGUACUCGGAUCCUCCACCAUGUAAUUCUCUCCGGGAAGCUCCAAAUCCGCACCCUUAAAAUGAAAAACAAGCUUAGGAACAGCUAAGUUCUUCGCCUCAUUAGGUAACGUAUAACACAAGUCAAGUCCUGUGGAUCCUGAUUCAUCUACUGGUAAACUCAUCCGAGAAGUAAACUCCCUCUUCAAGGUAUUAAACACAACCUCCUCUAGAUACGUGAUGGUCGUGCCAGAGUCUAUGAUCAUGCCUCCAGUUCCAUCUUCAGCUAGUUCGAACAUAGACUUUUCCAUAGAAAGACGUUUUGAUCCAACGGUGAUGCCUUGUAGGUCAAGGUAAUAGAACGAGGGCUGUCUAGGGUUUCGUAGCAAGGACGUGGUUUUGAUGAGUUCCCCUUCUGACCUUCCACCGCUUUUCUUGACGAUCUCCGAGGCUAGAGAUCCAAUGAACAGCGAGCUAGACGCUUCGGUAUCAUCAAUGGUGGUUAAACAAUAAGAGAACUUAGUCUCCUUGAGCUGAGUUAUAAGCGAGAGCGGUCCACGACCAAGACCUACAAGACCCGACCCUUGUGAAAACCCGUCUCCUUGGUUCUCAUCACCACACCCAAACCCUAUUCCCGAAACCGAGUUUUCGCCACCGAAAGUGAACGUUUCCAUGGACAAGACCCCUCUUGUGGACGAGUAAUCUCCAUAGGUAUACAAAUACUCACAAGCUCCUCUCUCUUGGUUGCAACUAGACCGAGGCAAGGCUUCACAAAGACCAGAAGAGCAUCCAAUUUUUGAGUAAGAAGAAGACUUUUUCGGGUCGAAAAUAGGAGUUGGUUGGUCGUAACAAUCCGUGCAAGGCUUGCAUUGAGUCCAUAUAAGGUCACUUCCAGUAUCUAAUACAGCCGAGUAUUUAACCGGAGGGUUUCCUAUAGCUAAAUCCAUAAGAAACUCACCGCUUCCGCCAUGAGUAGGUGCUUUAAUGUUGUUAGUAUCAUCAGGACCUGAUGAUUCAGCCAAAACAGCUGCAGCUCCUAACCUGUUUAGCCUGUGGAAUCCACGGUUAAUACCUCUUUGGAUCUUUUGGAUCUUUGUGAGGUUUUUACCGGAAUCCACAUGUUGUAGACUUAAUCGUAAACCGGAUCUUGGAAGGAUUGUUGGAGGAGGAUGGUUGGUUAAUGAUUUUCUUGAUGAUGAAAGAGCGAUGAAACAUGAGAAGAUGAUAAGAAAGAAAGGGAGUAACAAGGAGGAAGAAGAAGUCAUGGUUUGUGUGCCAGUUCCAUCUUCAGCUAGUUCGAACAUAGACUUUUCCAUAGAAAGACGUUUUGAUCCAACGGUGAUGCCUUGUAGGUCAAGGUAAUAGAACGAGGGCUGUCUAGGGUUUCGUAGCAAGGACGUGGUUUUGAUGAGUUCCCCUUCUGACCUUCCACCGCUUUUCUUGACGAUCUCCGAGGCUAGAGAUCCAAUGAACAGCGAGCUAGACGCUUCGGUAUCAUCAAUGGUGGUUAAACAAUAAGAGAACUUAGUCUCCUUGAGCUGAGUUAUAAGCGAGAGAGGUCCACGACCAAGACCUACAAGACCCGACCCUUGUGAAAACCCGUCUCCUUGGUUCUCAUCACCACACCCAAACCCUAUUCCCGAAACCGAGUUUUCGCCACCGAAAGUGAACGUUUCCAUGGACAAGACCCCUCUUGUGGACGAGUAAUCUCCAUAGGUAUACAAAUACUCACAAGCUCCUCUCUCUUGGUUGCAACUCGACCGAGGCAAGGCUUCACAAAGACCAGAAGAGCAUCCAAUUUUUGAGUAAGAAGAAGACUUUUUCGGGUCGAAAAUAGGAGUUGGUUGGUGGUAACAAUCCGUGCAAGGCUUGCAUUGAGUCCAUAUAAGGUCACUUCCAGUAUCUAAUACAGCCGAGUAUUUAACCGGAGGGUUUCCUAUAGCUAAAUCCAUAAGAAACUCACCGCUUCCGCCAUGAGUAGGUGCUUUAAUGUUGUUAGUAUCAUCAGGACCUGAUGAUUCAGCCAAAACAGCUGCAGCUCCUAACCUGUUUAGCCUGUGGAAUCCACGGUUAAUACCUCUUUGGAUCUUUUGGAUCUUUGUGAGGUUUUUACCGGAAUCCACAUGUUGUAGACUUAAUCGUAAACCGGAUCUUGGAAGGAUUGUUGGAGGAGGAUGGUUGGUUAAUGAUUUUCUUGAUGAUGAAAGAGCGAUGAAACAUGAGAAGAUGAUAAGAAAGAAAGGGAGUAACAAGGAGGAAGAAGAAGUCAUGGUUUGUGUUGCUUUAAAUCAUAUAUUAUAUGAUAAAAGUGAUAAUAUAAAACAUUAGUUUCAAUGCUUUUACGAUUAAAAAUCAAAAUGAUAAAUAUAGUAAUAGUAAUGAUUAGGAUUUAGUAGUGAGAUUUAAAUAAAUAAAAGAAUUGACUAAAUUAUUGUUGGAGAAAUAUAUGGUAACAUAUUGUUAGUAUAAAUUUAAGGUAAGACCACAAAAUAAUGAAUUAAAUGAAAGGGUCCAAAUAACUUUUAUAGGUAGAUUUUUUUAUACUUCUUGUCUUUUAAUAGUAUUGAUGAUUAUGGUUUCACAUGGACAUAUGAAAACAAAUAAUAUAACUCAGUUUUAGCCAUAGGUUUUCAAUUAGUUAUUUAACAAUAAGGAAAUUAAAAUGAUUUACAAAUAUUUCUUCUAUUUUUUCAUGUUUUCAACUAUUUAAAAACUUCUUUAAUUUUUCUUUGAAACUUGAUCUAUUUUAUUAAUUUUCAUUUUCUAUUUCCUCGGAGAUAUCUCUACUGGUGUAAAAAAUAUUGAAGAACUUGACAUUGUAACAACUCACAAAGCAUGAAAGUUUAUUAAUAAUAAGAGAAGCAAACAGUUAAAAUCUACAAUUUUCCACAUUCAGCGGGAAUAAAUGAGACCUUAUCCUUCUCAAGAUCAUGAACAACAUUAAAAUUCUGUUGCUGAAAGUUUCCAAAAAUAGACAUCCCAUUAGAUUUCCCCAUAGCCAAACACAAAACGCCCGUACUCGGAUCCUCCACCACGUAAUUCUCUCCGGGAAGCUCCAAAUCCGCACCCUUAAAAUGAAAAACAAGCUUAGGAACAGCUAAGUUCUUCGCCUCAUUAGGUAACGUAUAACACAAGUCAAGUCCUGUGGAUCCUGAUUCAUCUACUGGUAAACUCAUCCGAGAAGUAAACUCCCUCUUCAAGGUAUUAAACACAACCUCCUCUAGAUACGUGAUGGUCGUGCCAGAGUCUAUGAUCAUGCCUCCAGUUCCAUCUUCAGCUAGUUCGAACAUAGACUUUUCCAUAGAAAGACGUUUUGAUCCAACGGUGAUGCCUUGUAGGUCAAGGUAAUAGAACGAGGGCUGUCUAGGGUUUCGUAGCAAGGACGUGGUUUUGAUGAGUUCCCCUUCUGACCUUCCACCGCUUUUCUUGACGAUCUCCGAGGCUAGAGAUCCAAUGAACAGCGAGCUAGACG